rnacentral:rRNA from 1 species
GAAGUAAAAGUCGUAACAAGGUCUCCGUUGGUGAACCAGCGGAGGGAUCAUUACUGAGUUUACGCUCUACAACCCUUUGUGAACAUACCUACAACUGUUGCUUCGGCGGGUAGGGUCUCCGCGACCCUCCCGGCCUCCCGCCUCCGGGCGGGUCGGCGCCCGCCGGAGGAUAACCAAACUCUGAUUUAACGACGUUUCUUCUGAGUGGUACAAGCAAAUAAUCAAAACUUUUAACAACGGAUCUCUUGGUUCUGGCAUCGAUGAAGAACGCAGCGAAAUGCGAUAAGUAAUGUGAAUUGCAGAAUUCAGUGAAUCAUCGAAUCUUUGAACGCACAUUGCGCCCGCCAGCAUUCUGGCGGGCAUGCCUGUUCGAGCGUCAUUUCAACCCUCAAGCUCUGCUUGGUGUUGGGGCCCUACAGCCGAUGUAGGCCCUCAAAGGUAGUGGCGGACCCUCCCGGAGCCUCCUUUGCGUAGUAACUUUACGUCUCGCACUGGGAUCCGGAGGGACUCUUGCCGUAAAACCCCCCAAUUUUCCAAAGGUUGACCUCGGAUCAGGUAGGAAUACCCGCUGAACUUAAGCAUAU